UACGGGGGGGGCAAGCGUUGUUCGGAAUUACUGGGCGUAAAGGGCUCGUAGGCGGCCAACUAAGUCAGACGUGAAAUCCCUCGGCUUAACCGGGGAACUGCGUCUGAUACUGGAUGGCUUGAGUUUGGGAGAGGGAUGCGGAAUUCCUGGUGUAGCGGUGAAAUGCGCAGAUAUCAGGAGGAACACCGGUGGCGAAGGCGGUUCUCUGGGACGGUACUGACGCUGAGACGCGAAAGCGUGGGGAGCAAACAGG
rnacentral:rRNA from 1 species